rnacentral:rRNA from 1 species
CUUUCUUUGCUGGCGACCGGCGCACGGGUGAGUAACACGUAUCCAACCUGCCCUUUACUCGGGGAUAGUCUUUCGAAAGAAAGAUUAAUACCCGAUAGUAUAAUGAUUCCGCAUGGUUUCAUUAUUAAAGGAUUCCGGUAAAGGAUGGGGAUGCGUUCCAUUAGGUUGUUGGUGAGGUAACGGCUCACCAAGCCUUCGAUGGAUAGGGGUUCUGAGAGGAAGGUCCCCCACAUUGGAACUGAGACACGGUCCAA